GAACAAAACAAAACCCGGUCAUGAAUUAGAAGUACAAACCGAGGAUUUGCAAAGAAAAAUGUCGGAGGAUUUCAAUAUAAACCAAAAGGAGACUGGUUUUCCUUUGCUAAAGUAACGAAACUUUACGUCAUUUGCUCCUAAAAACAACUGUCAAGACUAGCAUAUCUCUGAGGCGCCCGCUGCGCAUACGUGCUGCGUCAUCCGCUGGAACGUCUUCCGUGUAUGACAGAGAACGGAAGUGAGAGAAACGUGUUUAUUACGUUUGAAAAAUUUAUAUUUUUCUUACAAAAACUCAUAGAUUCACUACAGGAGGUGUUUACACAAGUAGAGUUUUUAUAAUGCACGACUGCAAUGAUAAGAGCUUGGAAUAGCCAGGGCGAUUUUUAAUAUAACUCAGACUGGAUUAGUCUGAAAGAAGAAAGUCAUAUACACCUAGGAUGGCUCGAGGUUCCUCCUACUGAUAUGGGUGUAAAAAUGCUGCAGUGCUUUCCCUUCUACAGACGCUGCAAGGAGAGGUGCAAAAAACAGUGCCCUCCUGAGACGGCAGUAGCAAGUGAAGAGGUGAAACCUCGGCUAUGUUCCACUACCUCUUGGGGCAGUGAAGGGGACAGCAGCAAUCUGAGCUGCCCACAGGCCUAUUUUUCCCACAAGGCUCGGCUCUCACUUCGACACCAGAUGGAUAGCAACAUCAAUGCAGUGGAUGCAACAUACUAACUUUUCUCUGCAGAACCCUUGAAAGUAAACUUUAGAUUUACAGCCCCAGUCCAGUUUAAGUCCCUUAUUGGAGAGUUUUUGCCGGGAACUGGAGGAUGAGCCAUUAGGAGGAACAAGCAGCAUGGAAGUUUGCCUCUCUUUGAAUGCUUAUGGACACUCAUGAGCAUCAGCUGUAUGCAUUGCAGUAACAAUAUCAAAAUAAGUGUCAGAAUUUAAUUUAACAAUACAGCAGCAAGUGUAAAAUGGUACAGCUGAGUGUAAUUUGGUGAAAGGGGAUAUUAUGAAACACUCUUAAGAGUUACAGUAUGUUUACAUGAUAACCAAUAAGUGCUUUUUUUCCUAGCCUGCAUUUGCCCUCCAUAGCAACUGCUAUACAUGAAUCUGCAGUAUCUGAACUGGAUAAUGGCUUUAUCUGAGGAGACACCGACAUCAUUAUGCAAUUGGGUUUUUUGAGCCCGAUAUAAAUUCGUUCCGUAGGAUUCUUUGAUGAAUAGCAGUCUACCUAAUAAAAUCAACCACGUUUUGCCUUGCUGGUGAUAAAUUCAGUGUGUAUUGUGAAGCAACUGAAUGUUUUUCUUCUUUUACAUAAAAAGAAAGGAGGUUUCUAAAGCUUAUUUUGUUUUCUGUGUAAGUGCCAUUUUCUAUGCCCUGCAGCUGCAUCAAGGUCCAUUAACAGUGUGCACAGCUCUAACUUUAAUUACAUUUUUUAUUAUGUUUAGAUUUCAGGGCUUUUUGAAAUAUGCCCUGACCAUAAACACAUUUUGCUUGAGAAGUGUUUUUGAAACAAUUCUAUAAAAGAUGGUUGGUUGGUUGGACUUUAUGCAAGAAGGCCUGGUUUUUAAAUCUUUAUAAGGUUUUCUUCUUAUUGCAUGUAUAAAACCGGUCAAGUGAAAGGAGAAGUUUGUUGUGUUUGAAAAAACAUGUUUUUCAUUAUGUGUAUCUGGACUUCUUCACAUUGUUGUGUGCAUAUGUAUUAAAAUUUGAAUUUUUUAAACAUUAAAGGUGGAUUUUUACACCCUAACCCAGUAAAAGAACAGAAUUCACAAGACACUGUUACACACUGUUAAAAAAAUGUAUAACAAAUAAAAAAGACAGAAAACUAAAUUACAAUGAAGUUAAAACAACACAUGAAUUGUUGUUUUCACUGAUGAUUGUAAAAAUAAUAAUUAAAAAUAAAACUGUUUUUCAAAAAGAAA